rnacentral:rRNA from 1 species
GGGGAAUAUUGGACAAUGGGCGCAAGCCUGAUCCAGCCAUGCCGCGUGUGUGAAGAAGGCCCUCGGGUUGUAAAGCACUUUAAGCGAGGAGGAAGGUCAUCAUACUAAUACUAUGGUGAAUUGACGUUACUCGCAGAAUAAGCACCGGCUAACUCUGUGCCAGCAGCCGCGGUAAUACAGAGGGUGCAAGCGUUAAUCGGAAUUACUGGGCGUAAAGCGCGCGUAGGCGGUUUUUUAAGUCGGAUGUGAAAUCCCUGGGCUCAACCUAGGCACUGCAUCCGAUACUGGCUGACUAGAGUGUGGGAGAGGAAGGUAGAAUUCCAGGUGUAGCGGUGAAAUGCGUAGAGAUCUGGAGGAAUACCGAUGGCGAAGGCAGCCUUCUGGCCUAACACUGACGCUGAGGUGCGAAAGCAUGGGGAGCAAAC